rnacentral:rRNA from 1 species
AUUGAACGCUGGCGGCGUGCCUAACACAUGCAAGUCGAACGAGUGGCGGACGGGUGUAUAAUGUCUGGGAACCUGCCUGAUGUAGGGGGAUAACUACUGGAACCGGUAGCUAAUACCGCAUACCAUCAGAUGUGCCCACAGGGGCUUAGCUAGUUGGUGGGGUAACGGCUCACCAGGGCGACGAGCCCUAGCUGGUCUGAGAGGAUGAGCAGCAACACUGGAACUGAGACACGGUCCAGACGCCCACGGGAGGCAGCAGGGGGGAAUAUGGCACAAUUGGCGCAAGCCUGAGGCAGCCAUGCCGCGUGUAUGAAGAAGGCAUUCGGGUUGUAAAGUACUAUCAGUGGGGAGGCGUUACCCGCAGAAGAAGCACCGGCUAACUCCGUGCCAGCCGCCGCGGUAAUUC